rnacentral:rRNA from 1 species
CAGUCGCCGCGGGAAUACGUAGGGUGCGAGCGUUAAUCGGAAUUACUGGGCGUAAAGCGGGCGCAGACGGUUACUUAAGCAGGAUGUGAAAUCCCCGGGCUCAACCUGGGAACUGCGUUCUGAACUGGGUGACUAGAGUGUGUCAGAGGGAGGUAGAAUUCCACGUGUAGCAGUGAAAUGCGUAGAGAUGUGGAGGAAUACCGAUGGCGAAGGCAGCCUCCUGGGAUAACACUGACGUUCAUGCCCGAAAGCGUGGGUAGCAAACAGGAUUAGAUACCCCAGUAGUCCCUGUCUCUUAUAC